UUAAAUUGAAGAGUUUGAUCAUGGCUCAGAUUGAACGCUGGCGGCAGGCCUAACACAUGCAAGUCGAACGGUAACAGGAAGCAGCUUGCUGCUUUGCUGACGAGUGGCGGACGGGUGAGUAAUGUCUGGGAAACUGCCUGAUG
rnacentral:rRNA from 7 species